rnacentral:rRNA from 1 species
AAAAUUAGAGUGUUCAAAGCAGGCAGAUCCAAUUUUCUGCCACCGAAUACAUUAGCAUGGGAUAAUGGAAUAGGACCCUGUCCUCCUAUUUUCAGUUGGUUUGCCGCGAGGACCAGGGUAAUGAUUAAUAGGGAUAGUUGGGGGCAUUAAUAUUUAAUUGUCAGAGGUGAAAUUCUUGGAUUUAUGAAAGAUUAACUUCUGCGAAAGCAUCUGCCAAGGAUGUUUUCAUUAAUCAAGAACGAAAGUUAGGGGAUCGAAGACGAUCAGAUACCGUCGUAGUCUUAACCAUAAACGAUGCCGACCAGCGAUUAGGAGACGUUGAAUACAAAACACCACCAUGCGAUUGCGGUCGUCUUUGGUGUCGCUCACAAGGCGGCAUCGGGACGGCUUAGCUCGCAUGGCACCGGUGAA